GAAAAAUGGGAGAAAGACAGAGCUGCCAGGGAGACUCAGCCCCCUUCUCUCCUGGGAUCCUUCUUUCUCACCAUCCUGAGUCUGCACCCUGAUCUACCUGUGGCCACCACUGAGGGUCUCCUAGGGGCUUGGCAGAUGGGGACACUAGGCUGCCAGCAAGGGGCAGAGGCCUUUGUCAGAGUAAGCAGGAGAGAGAGACAGAGAGAGAGAGAGAGAGAGACCUAGUGUCCUUUCUUCCCUGAAGUAAAAGACUCCUGGCUUCACAUGCCUUCCUGGCCUUGGGCCUUGGUAACUUAGAGCCUGAGGGUGAGCCUGGAGUGAUGGGGACUAGAGGCACAGGGGUUUCCUGGGGGUAGGACAUAGAGGGAAUCAGCCUGCAGGGAGGUCAAAAUGCUUUGAACUCGGGCUGCAGGAACCUUUGAGAAGUGCUCAGAACUCAGAUUCUAAGGACACCCUAGCGAAGUGACUGAACUGAGGCUGUGGGACCUUUCUGGGAAAUGUGCGAAAUUUAGGCUGCAGGGGCUCACUGAAUUCAGGCAGGGGGUUCUUAGGAAAUGUACUGACUCUAACUGUGAGGCUGUCUGGGGAGGCUGAUAAACUCAGGUCCAACAGGACAUUCUUGAGGACUGCAUUGAACUCAAGUUGUAGGGGCUUCUUGGAGAGACCCAUGAACUGAGUUUAUGGACCCUUUUUGGGGAGGUCACUGAACUUUCACUGCAUGCCUGGAACUUUGCUUGCAGACUCAAAGUCCAUGUGGCUGUCCUCUGCUACACAAACUCAGAGGUACAAGACAUACAGACAGACAUGGACUGCAGUUACCCAAGGAUCAUUCACAGUCUCUCCUCUCUCCUUGCUACACACACACAUACACACACACACACAUACACACACCCUGUCUCUUCAGUCCCCUCUCCUG
rnacentral:lncRNA from 10 species